rnacentral:tRNA from 1 species
GGGAAUGUGGCUUAGUGGUAGAGUGCUUGCCUUGCAGGCAAGUAGUCCUGGAUUCGAUUCCUCAGUACCA